rnacentral:rRNA from 1 species
GACAGAGGGUGCAAACGUUGUUCGGAUUUACUGGGCGUAAAGCGCGUGUAGGCGGCUUGGCAAGUCGGAUGUGAAAGCCCACGGCUCAACCGUGGAAGCGCAUCCGAAACUGCUUCGCUCGAGUCUCGGAGAGGAAGGUGGAAUGCUUGGUGUAGAGGUGAAAUUCGUAGAUAUCAAGCAGAACACCUGCGGCGAAGGCGGCCUUCUGGACUAUGACUGACGCUGAGACGCGAAAGCGUGGGGAGCAAACAGG